AUUGAACGCUGGCGGCAUGCCUUACACAUGCAAGUCGAACGGUAACGGGUCCUUCGGGAUGCCGACGAGUGGCGAACGGGUGAGUAGUAUAUCGGAACGUGCCCAGUAGUGGGGGAUAACUGCUCGAAAGAGCAGCUAAUACCGCAUACGACCUGAGGGUGAAAGGGGGGGAUCGCAAGACCUCUCGCUAUUGGAGCGGCCGAUAUCAGAUUAGCUAGUUGGUGGGGUAAAGGCCUACCAAGGCAACGAUCUGUAGUUGGUCUGAGAGGACGACCAGCCACACUGGGACUGAGACACGGCCCAGACUCCUGCGGGAGGCAGCAGUGGGAAAUUUUGGACAAUGGGCGCAAGCCUGAUCCAGCAAUGCCGCGUGCAGGAAGAAGGCCUUCGGGUUGUAAACUGCUUUUGUCAGGGAAGAAAUCUUCUGGGCUAAUACCCCGGGAGGAUGACGGUACCUGAAGAAUAAGCACCGGCUAACUACGUGCCAGCCGCCGCCGUAA
rnacentral:rRNA from 1 species